GUGGACGCAUCACUGGUGUUCGGGUUGUCAUGCCAAUGGCACUGCCCGGUAGCUAAAUGCGGAAGAGAUAAGUGCUGAAAGCAUCUAAGCACGAAACUUGCCCCGAGAUGAGUUCUCCCUGAGACUAUAAGUCUCCUGAAGGAACGUUAAAGACGAUGACGUUGAUAGGCCGGGUGUGUAAGCGCAGCGAUGCGUUGAGCUAACCGGUACUAAUGAACCGUGAGGCUUAACCUUAC
rnacentral:rRNA from 1 species